rnacentral:lncRNA from 1 species
AUUUUUUGUUGUUAGAUUGCUGUAUAGUUGACUCUCUUUCCAUUCUCAUAUUUUAUCCAAUUCUGAACAUGUCUAUUAUUUAAAAACAAUUUUCAUUUUUUUUCUUUGCAAAUUAACCUAUCAAAACGAUUGUCACUCUCUCCAUCGGCUCAAAGAGGAAUAACUCUAAUAAACGUUUCCAGUUCGCGGAAACCGCGACGUCAUAAACCACUGACGGCAUAGUACUG